GAGUCUUUGACUCCAAAGCUGUGUGCUGUUGGAGGCUCCCCCUGACUCACCUCGAUCCAUUUCUGCGCCUCCAGGCAGGCUGGCUCGGGAUGGCUCGGCUCGGGACCGGCCAUCAGUGGGGGUGCGUUGGGAAUUCGCUGAUGUUGUGAAGUCUCUCCCGUUUUCUUCCCCGGUGUCCUCCACGCUCCACGCGCAGUCUAUUCAGUCACGUAGCCCCCUCGCGCUCCAACUGCGUCGCCCUCAAAAAGAAGAUGAUGCAGAAGAGGACGCCGCUUCUGGCGACGCUGCAAUACGAACCAGGUGCUAAAAAUAUCGAUUCCUUGCCGUGGGAGGCUGACUCCUCUCUGCUGCUGCUGCUACCGCCGCCGCGCGUCAGGAGAAGGCGUGAACGCGCAGGCAGGAAUCUCUGUGGGGGGGGUCGAGAGAAGCAGGAAAGACAGAGGAGAGAGAGGGGAUGGAGGGCGCCGCAGAAGAUGUCCCGCUAUAUUACAGUUCAGAUAGUUCAUCUAGUGGCGGAUGCUUGGUGUGUUUCAUUUACUUUGAAUCGUUAUUUAAAUUAAAAA